rnacentral:lncRNA from 1 species
UUAUCCUCAUAGGAUUGCUGUAAGGAAAGGGUCCAUGUAGAACACACAGCAUAGUGUCUGGCAUGUAGUGAACAUGUGAUAAACCUUUACUUUAUUAUUGAUUAUUGUUAUUAUUAGUGCUAGGGAUAUUUUAAAUAGCACUUUUGGGGAUAAAAUGGAUAAAAGGUAAAAACAGAUGGACCAUCUAGAAGUCAUUGCAAUGAUCACAAGGUGAUGGAAUUUAGGAAUGAGUAGAGACAGUAGUACAAGAUAUAAACAUUUCACUUACUAUGAGAAAUACAAGAAGCUAUUCUUAUUAACUUUUUAUUCUCUGUUUCUUACUUUGACCAAAAUUGGAACAACAUAUUUACUUCGCCAACAUUUCAGGUCUUAGGUAGAAGAAUAUUCACACAUCAAAGGAUUUUUAUGACUUGUUCAAGAGCUAGAUAGCCACUUCUUACAAUACAAAUUAUUUUUAAGAAUUUAAACAUCAAUUUCUGAGACAGAAUGUUCAGAGAAAUAUUAUUUAAAUGCAAAAAAAAAGCAAAAAUAAAACUUGCUUAGCAUAUGAAUAAGGGACAUGUGAAGAUGUAUUGCCCAUGGAUUCCAAUAAUUCAAGCAUUUUUAAAAGUAGUAAUUAAAUUGUAAUUUAUCUGGAAUAAGGAAUUAUUAUGAUAAUUCUAGAAUGUUCUUAAAAAGCAGACAGCCAGAAGCCUAAAGCAGUUAAAACAGGAACUUUUUAACAAAGUCUGUGUGGCUAAGAAGCAAUUUUUAGAAAUUCCUUUUACUGCCAUAUAACUUGUAUUAGAAAAUUUCCUUAUUAAAAACUGACAGAAAAAAUCUUGACAAAAAACUCCAGUGGGCUGAAUUAAACCUUUAGGUAAGAAAAGAAUACAGAUGGUGGACAAUUUUAUGGCUUUUACAAUGUUCUGGUGUGAAGAAUAUUUUUGUAUCUCUUCCAGAACCCAAAUGUAGGAAUUUGUUCCAUAGAUGCUGGAAUUGCAGUUUUUGGAAUUUAGUUUUCCAACAGAAAGGAAGUAUCACGGAAUGAACAGUAAACUAGAUUUGCCUUAGGAAGACUGAUUUUUAAGUCUCAGCGUGAAAUGGCCCAUGUUGGGUCUCUUUCCCCCUCCCUAUCCCAGGAACAGAGGUUUUUCACCCCACCAGGGUUGGAACUGAGGGGAGUAUAAAAGUGCUCUGUUACCUGGUGCUGUACAAUGAAGUAUCAAUGCUCUCUGGACAUGGCAAAUGUUCCUCAUGAAGGGGCUUUCAUGUAUACUUUGAAGACUACCUUGUCAGGGACCUCUUACCUGCAAUUCCCUUAAAAUUGUGACUAUUUCCAUUCCAGCUGUUCAUUUGAAUUUUUUCUGUAGCCCCUAGGCCUUCAGUGGUCCUCUCCCAGUUUUCUUCCACUGCUCUUCUAGGUAGCCCUCCUGAACAAGGCUUAAGGCCUCCAUAUUGCUAGCAACCUCAUGCUUUCUCUCUCUCUCUAUCUAUCUCUCUCUCCCCCUCCCUCUCUGUCUCUGUCUCUAUCUCUCUGUCUUUCUCUGUCUCUCUCUCCCUGAGACAGUGAUCAUGUUGUAUUGAAAUGGUCUGUUUCCAUUCUUUCCCCAAAUAUCCUGAAAACUCUUCGAGGGAAGGCAUAGCAUCUUAUUUCUUGUAGCCUUCCUACUUACUAGAACACCCAACAGAUACUGCUCAAGUGAAUGAAAUGCCACAUUUAUACCAAGAUAUUUGAUUUUACUACCUGUACUGUGAAGAAGCCCAAGCUAGCCUUAUGGAAAGACCACAUAGAGGAGAAUUGAAGAACCCAGCCAAAAUCCAG